AUUCAGACGUUUGCGAUCAGUGAGUGACAUAACUUCAAAACAAACUUUUCUAUCUGAAUAAUUCUGAACAUUAAUUUCCCAAAAAUUACGAUGUGGCCUCUGCUAUCCCAGUGCAGAACGGUUCUGAACACCGCUCUAGUGAGUUCUUUGUCCGGCGCUUCCCGAACCACAGUCAACUUAUUUCAUGUGCUUGCCGGUCGUCGAGUGAUGGAUUCCCCUCUUGCAAACCAAACUUCUAAAGCACUGCUACUGGAUCGGUCUUCGAAUCAGUUGCUAGUUCCCACCGUCAGUCCAAUGCUCAAUCCAGCCUGCGGGUUCAAAGUUAAAGGGCAUUUGAAACGUCGUUGCAAGGAUUGCUUCUUCGUCGUUCGACACCAGCGGCUUUACGUGAUCUGCAAGACCCAUCCCAGACAUAAGCAAAUGUCCAUGAAGAAGCGCGAACGGAACACCUGGAUCCUUACGGAUGCCACCCAGGGUCCGGCACGUGCGUGGUAAAAAAAAAAGUUAUAUGUACAUUUGUUCGUAGAUUGAUUCCAAAUAAGAAAAA